rnacentral:rRNA from 1 species
UUAAGCGACUAAGCGUACACGGUGGAUGCCCUGGCAGUCAGAGGCGAUGAAGGACGUGCUAAUCUGCGAUAAGCGUCGGUGAGGUGAUAUGAACCGUUAUAACCGGCGAUUUCCGAAUGGGGAAACCCAGUGUGAUUCGUCACACUAUCAUUAACUGAAUCCAUAGGUUAAUGAGGCGAACCGGGGGAACUGAAACAUCUAAGUACCCCGAGGAAAAGAAAUCAACCGAGAUUCCCCCAGUAGCGGCGAGCGAACGGGGAGGAGCCCAGAGCCUGAAUCAGUGUGUGUGUUAGUGGAAGCGUCUGGAAAGGCGCGCGAUACAGGGUGACAGCCCCGUACACAAAAAUGCACAUACUGUGAGCUCGAUGAGUAGGGCGGGACACGUGGUAUCCUGUCUGAAUAUGGGGGGACCAUCCUCCAAGGCUAAAUACUCCUGACUGACCGAUAGUGAACCAGUACCGUGAGGGAAAGGCGAAAAGAACCCCGGCGAGGGGAGUGAAAAAGAACCUGAAACCGUGUACGUACAAGCAGUGGGAGCCUCUUAAUGGGGUGACUGCGUACCUUUUGUAUAAUGGGUCAGCGACUUAUAUUCUGUAGCAAGGUUAACCGAAUAGGGGAGCCGAAGGGAAACCGAGUCUUAACUGGGCGUUAAGUUGCAGGGUAUAGACCCGAAACCCGGUGAUCUAGCCAUGGGCAGGUUGAAGGUUGGGUAACACUAACUGGAGGACCGAACCGACUAAUGUUGAAAAAUUAGCGGAUGACUUGUGGCUGGGGGUGAAAGGCCAAUCAAACCGGGAGAUAGCUGGUUCUCCCCGAAAGCUAUUUAGGUAGCGCCUCGUGAAUUCAUCUCCGGGGGUAGAGCACUGUUUCGGCAAGGGGGUCAUCCCGACUUACCAACCCGAUGCAAACUGCGAAUACCGGAGAAUGUUAUCACGGGAGACACACGGCGGGUGCUAACGUCCGUCGUGAAGAGGGAAACAACCCAGACCGCCAGCUAAGGUCCCAAAGUCAUGGUUAAGUGGGAAACGAUGUGGGAAGGCCCAGACAGCCAGGAUGUUGGCUUAGAAGCAGCCAUCAUUUAAAGAAAGCGUAAUAGCUCACUGGUCGAGUCGGCCUGCGCGGAAGAUGUAACGGGGCUAAACCAUGCACCGAAGCUGCGGCAGCGACACUAUGUGUUGUUGGGUAGGGGAGCGUUCUGUAAGCCUGUGAAGGUGUACUGUGAGGUAUGCUGGAGGUAUCAGAAGUGCGAAUGCUGACAUAAGUAACGAUAAAGCGGGUGAAAAGCCCGCUCGCCGGAAGACCAAGGGUUCCUGUCCAACGUUAAUCGGGGCAGGGUGAGUCGACCCCUAAGGCGAGGCCGAAAGGCGUAGUCGAUGGGAAACAGGUUAAUAUUCCUGUACUUGGUGUUACUGCGAAGGGGGGACGGAGAAGGCUAUGUUGGCCGGGCGACGGUUGUCCCGGUUUAAGCGUGUAGGCUGGUUUUCCAGGCAAAUCCGGAAAACCAAGGCUGAGGCGUGAUGACGAGGCACUACGGUGCUGAAGCGACAAAUGCCCUGCUUCCAGGAAAAGCCUCUAAGCAUCAGGUAACAUCAAAUCGUACCCCAAACCGACACAGGUGGUCAGGUAGAGAAUACCAAGGCGCUUGAGAGAACUCGGGUGAAGGAACUAGGCAAAAUGGUGCCGUAACUUCGGGAGAAGGCACGCUGAUAUGUAGGUGAAGCGACUUGCUCGUGGAGCUGAAAUCAGUCGAAGAUACCAGCUGGCUGCAACUGUUUAUUAAAAACACAGCACUGUGCAAACACGAAAGUGGACGUAUACGGUGUGACGCCUGCCCGGUGCCGGAAGGUUAAUUGAUGGGGUUAGCGGCAACGCGAAGCUCUUGAUCGAAGCCCCGGUAAACGGCGGCCGUAACUAUAACGGUCCUAAGGUAGCGAAAUUCCUUGUCGGGUAAGUUCCGACCUGCACGAAUGGCGUAAUGAUGGCCAGGCUGUCUCCACCCGAGACUCAGUGAAAUUGAACUCGCUGUGAAGAUGCAGUGUACCCGCGGCAAGACGGAAAGACCCCGUGAACCUUUACUAUAGCUUGACACUGAACAUUGAGCCUUGAUGUGUAGGAUAGGUGGGAGGCUUUGAAGUGUGGACGCCAGUCUGCAUGGAGCCGACCUUGAAAUACCACCCUUUAAUGUUUGAUGUUCUAACGUGGGCCCGUAAUCCGGGUUGCGGACAGUGUCUGGUGGGUAGUUUGACUGGGGCGGUCUCCUCCUAAAGAGUAACGGAGGAGCACGAAGGUUGGCUAAUCCUGGUCGGACAUCAGGAGGUUAGUGCAAUGGCAUAAGCCAGCUUGACUGCGAGCGUGACGGCGCGAGCAGGUGCGAAAGCAGGUCAUAGUGAUCCGGUGGUUCUGAAUGGAAGGGCCAUCGCUCAACGGAUAAAAGGUACUCCGGGGAUAACAGGCUGAUACCGCCCAAGAGUUCAUAUCGACGGCGGUGUUUGGCACCUCGAUGUCGGCUCAUCACAUCCUGGGGCUGAAGUAGGUCCCAAGGGUAUGGCUGUUCGCCAUUUAAAGUGGUACGCGAGCUGGGUUUAGAACGUCGUGAGACAGUUCGGUCCCUAUCUGCCGUGGGCGCUGGAGAACUGAGGGGGGCUGCUCCUAGUACGAGAGGACCGGAGUGGACGCAUCACUGGUGUUCGGGUUGUCAUGCCAAUGGCACUGCCCGGUAGCUAAAUGCGGAAGAGAUAAGUGCUGAAAGCAUCUAAGCACGAAACUUGCCCCGAGAUGAGUUCUCCCUGAGCCUUUAAGGGUCCUGAAGGAACGUUGAAGACGACGACGUUGAUAGGCCGGGUGUGUAAGCGCAGCGAUGCGUUGAGCUAACCGGUACUAAUGAACCGUGAGGCUUAACCUU